UGAGGAAUAUUGGUCAAUGGUCGCAAGACUGAACCAGCCAUGCCGCGUGCAGGAAGACGGUCCUAUGGAUUGUAAACUGCUUUUAUACAGGAAGAAACCCUCCCACGUGUGGGAGCUUGACGGUACUGUAGGAAUAAGGAUCGGCUAACUCCGUGCCAGCAGCCGCGGUAAUACGGAGGAUCCAAGCGUUAUCCGGAAUCAUUGGGUUUAAAGGGUCCGUAGGCGGUCUUAUAAGUCAGUGGUGAAAGCCCAUCGCUCAACGAUGGAACUGCCAUUGAUACUGUAAGACUUGAAUGCUUAGGAAGUAACUAGAAUAUGUAGUGUAGCGGUGAAAUGCUUAGAUAUUACAUGGAAUACCAAUUGCGAAGGCAGGUUACUACUAAGUGAUUGACGCUGAUGGACGAAAGCGUGGGGAGCGAACA
rnacentral:rRNA from 2 species